CCCUGUCUGGAUACCUCUCUACUCACCUACACACAACACCAUCUCUCUCCGCUGAAUUGUCGUCGUUGUCGACUGCUCGGCAGUUUCCGUCGCCGGUUUCCGACAAUAUUAGAGUAGACUUGUCUUCCCUUUGAGUAAUCCUGGCCUGAGGGAUAGCACGGGCAAGGAGAAGGCGAAUGAGUAAAGUGAUCUAGUACGGCAUUUUGGAUUUUAAGGUGAUCCGAUCUUCUGUCUGCACCCUGAAUGGGUGAUUUGUGCGGAGUUCCUUGAGGACAAAAAUCUGCUUAUGUUUCUGAUCUGUUCCGAGUACCCUGGUCUGUCACUAAGCACUUAAUGGGAAUAUAUGUGUUAUGAUUAGUGAUUGUGUAAAACCUAUGUUAUAACUCUGAUAUAUUUGGUACACGAGAUCAGGUUUCGUUAUACGUGUUUUGGAUAUGUGGAAGGUUGAUGAUAUGUAUAUGUGUUGGUGUGUAGAUAAUAGUGUAAAUGAAUAGGUUGCAUAAUGUUUACUUAACUCCGGAAAUUAGACUCUAAUGUUGAGUAUACUACUGGGCUUGUUGAAGCACAUUCCUUUCUACUCACCUACACACAACACCAUCUCUCUCCGCUGAAUUGUCGUCGUUGUCGACUGCUCGGCAGUUUCCGUCGCCGGUUUCCGACAAUAUUAGAGUAGACUUGUCUUCCCUUUGAGUAAGCAAGUCCCUCACCUUUCGAAUUUGUUCAAUUUCUGCAUCAUCUUAAAGCUAGGGUUCUUAAAUUGGUUUCUCCCCAAUUUGAAUUUAAAUAAAAUUAGAGUAUAUAGUUGGAUUAUCUUAGAUAGUAGGUUUUUGGAGGUUGCAAAUAUAUAUUAUGUUGUGGUGAAAGAAACAAAGGAGAUAGCCUUUUGUGUCAUGUUCUGGCCGAAUUUGUCAACUCCAGUUUAACCAAGUAAACGAUCUCUUUUUCUUACGAAAUUUUAACUGAACAUACAUUUAGGUGUCUUCUGCUAUGUGGCCAAAUUUCAGCUUCAUCCGAAUUGAAAUGAAUUUAUAAUGAAUUUUGAAAGGGGACUGCGCAGUUCAGCUACGUUUGGAUAUAUUUUUGCUGUUUUCAGCUGCUGGUUUUGAAGUUUUCGACACCCUUAGAGUGUUGCAAAUUGUAUUUUCAAAUUUUCUGUAUGAACCUUGAUGUGUUGGAGAGCUCUCUGUAAAAUUUCAACUGAUUUGGAUGUCAUUUACUAUUUUUAGAAAAUCUCCAAACACAGCUGCUAGAACCUGUCGGGUAGUGAUAGACAGUGGGAAAAUGGCCAUAUCUCCCAACCUACUUGGAAAUUUUGAGAGAACUUUGUUUUAAACUUUAACUAGACACCAAGGGGAUUCUUUUGGUAUAGGGCUUGACCUCUUAUACUCCGUGCAAAAGAAGUAACUAAAGAGAACUUGUUUAUUGCUUAAGCUAUUUUUUUGGUGUUGUGUUGAUAAGAAUUAUUUAUUGAAAGGUAAUCCUGGCCUGAGGGAUAGCACGGGCAAGGAGAAGGCGAAUGAGUAAAGUGAUCUAGUACGGCAUUUUGGAUUUUAAGGUGAUCCGAUCUUCUGUCUGCACCCUGAAUGGGUGAUUUGUGCGGAGUUCCUUGAGGACAAAAAUCUGCUUAUGUUUCUGAUCUGUUCCGAGUACCCUGGUCUGUCACUAAGCACUUAAUGGGAAUAUAUGUGUUAUGAUUAGUGAUUGUGUAAAACCUAUGUUAUAACUCUGAUAUAUUUGGUACACGAGAUCAGGUUUCGUUAUACGUGUUUUGGAUAUGUGGAAGGUUGAUGAUAUGUAUAUGUGUUGGUGUGUAGAUAAUAGUGUAAAUGAAUAGGUUGCAUAAUGUUUACUUAACUCCGGAAAUUAGACUCUAAUGUUGAGUAUACUACUGGGCUUGUUGAAGCUCAUUCCUUUCUACUCACCUACACACAACACCAUCUCUCUCCGCUGAAUUGUCGUCGUUGUCGACUGCUCGGCAGUUUCCGUCGCCGGUUUCCGACAAUAUUAGAGUAGACUUGUCUUCCCUUUGAGUAAGCAAGUCCCUCACCUUUCGAAUUUGUUCAAUUUCUGCAUCAUCUUAAAGCUAGGGUUCUUAAAUUGGUUUCUCCCCAAUUUGAAUUUAAAUAAAAUUAGAGUAUAUAGUUGGAUUAUCUUAGAUAGUAGGUUUUUGGAGGUUGCAAAUAUAUAUUAUGUUGUGGUGAAAGAAACAAAGGAGAUAGCCUUUUGUGUCAUGUUCUGGCCGAAUUUGUCAACUCCAGUUUAACCAAGUAAACGAUCUCUUUUUCUUACGAAAUUUUAACUGAACAUACAUUUAGGUGUCUUCUGCUAUGUGGCCAAAUUUCAGCUUCAUCCGAAUUGAAAUGAAUUUAUAAUGAAUUUUGAAAGGGGACUGCGCAGUUCAGCUACGUUUGGAUAUAUUUUUGCUGUUUUCAGCUGCUGGUUUUGAAGUUUUCGACACCCUUAGAGUGUUGCAAAUUGUAUUUUCAAAUUUUCUGUAUGAACCUUGAUGUGUUGGAGAGCUCUCUGUAAAAUUUCAACUGAUUUGGAUGUCAUUUACUAUUUUUAGAAAAUCUCCAAACACAGCUGCUAGAACCUGUCGGGUAGUGAUAGACAGUGGGAAAAUGGCCAUAUCUCCCAACCUACUUGGAAAUUUUGAGAGAACUUUGUUUUAAAAUUUAACUAGACACCAAGGGGAUUCUUUUGGUAUAGGGCUUGACCUCUUAUACUCCGUGCAAAAGAAGUAACUAAAGAGAACUUGUUUAUUGCUUAAGCUAUUUUUUUGGUGUUGUGUUGAUAAGAAUUAUUUAUUGAAAGGUAAUCCUGGCCUGAGGGAUAGCACGGGCAAGGAGAAGGCGAAUGAGUAAAGUGAUCUAGUACGGCAUUUUGGAUUUUAAGGUGAUCCGAUCUUCUGUCUGCACCCUGAAUGGGUGAUUUGUGCGGAGUUCCUUGAGGACAAAAAUCUGCUUAUGUUUCUGAUCUGUUCCGAGUACCCUGGUCUGUCACUAAGCACUUAAUGGGAAUAUAUGUGUUAUGAUUAGUGAUUGUGUAAAACCUAUGUUAUAACUCUGAUAUAUUUGGUACACGAGAUCAGGUUUCGUUAUACGUGUUUUGGAUAUGUGGAAGGUUGAUGAUAUGUAUAUGUGUUGGUGUGUAGAUAAUAGUGUAAAUGAAUAGGUUGCAUAAUGUUUACUUAACUCCGGAAAUUAGACUCUAAUGUUGAGUAUACUACUGGGCUUGUUGAAGCACAUUCCUUUCUACUCACCUACACACAACACCAUCUCUCUCCGCUGAAUUGUCGUCGUUGUCGACUGCUCGGCAGUUUCCGUCGCCGGUUUCCGACAAUAUUAGAGUAGACUUGUCUUCCCUUUGAGUAAGCAAGUCCCUCACCUUUCGAAUUUGUUCAAUUUCUGCAUCAUCUUAAAGCUAGGGUUCUUAAAUUGGUUUCUCCCCAAUUUGAAUUUAAAUAAAAUUAGAGUAUAUAGUUGGAUUAUCUUAGAUAGUAGGUUUUUGGAGGUUGCAAAUAUAUAUUAUGUUGUGGUGAAAGAAACAAAGGAGAUAGCCUUUUGUGUCAUGUUCUGGCCGAAUUUGUCAACUCCAGUUUAACCAAGUAAACGAUCUCUUUUUCUUACGAAAUUUUAACUGAACAUACAUUUAGGUGUCUUCUGCUAUGUGGCCAAAUUUCAGCUUCAUCCGAAUUGAAAUGAAUUUAUAAUGAAUUUUGAAAGGGGACUGCGCAGUUCAGCUACGUUUGGAUAUAUUUUUGCUGUUUUCAGCUGCUGGUUUUGAAGUUUUCGACACCCUUAGAGUGUUGCAAAUUGUAUUUUCAAAUUUUCUGUAUGAACCUUGAUGUGUUGGAGAGCUCUCUGUAAAAUUUCAACUGAUUUGGAUGUCAUUUACUAUUUUUAGAAAAUCUCCAAACACAGCUGCUAGAACCUGUCGGGUAGUGAUAGACAGUGGGAAAAUGGCCAUAUCUCCCAACCUACUUGGAAAUUUUGAGAGAACUUUGUUUUAAACUUUAACUAGACACCAAGGGGAUUCUUUUGGUAUAGGGCUUGACCUCUUAUACUCCGUGCAAAAGAAGUAACUAAAGAGAACUUGUUUAUUGCUUAAGCUAUUUUUUUGGUGUUGUGUUGAUAAGAAUUAUUUAUUGAAAGGUAAUCCUGGCCUGAGGGAUAGCACGGGCAAGGAGAAGGCGAAUGAGUAAAGUGAUCUAGUACGGCAUUUUGGAUUUUAAGGUGAUCCGAUCUUCUGUCUGCACCCUGAAUGGGUGAUUUGUGCGGAGUUCCUUGAGGACAAAAAUCUGCUUAUGUUUCUGAUCUGUUCCGAGUACCCUGGUCUGUCACUAAGCACUUAAUGGGAAUAUAUGUGUUAUGAUUAGUGAUUGUGUAAAACCUAUGUUAUAACUCUGAUAUAUUUGGUACACGAGAUCAGGUUUCGUUAUACGUGUUUUGGAUAUGUGGAAGGUUGAUGAUAUGUAUAUGUGUUGGUGUGUAGAUAAUAGUGUAAAUGAAUAGGUUGCAUAAUGUUUACUUAACUCCGGAAAUUAGACUCUAAUGUUGAGUAUACUACUGGGCUUGUUGAAGCUCAUUCCUUUCUACUCACCUACACACAACACCAUCUCUCUCCGCUGAAUUGUCGUCGUUGUCGACUGCUCGGCAGUUUCCGUCGCCGGUUUCCGACAAUAUUAGAGUAGACUUGUCUUCCCUUUGAGUAAGCAAGUCCCUCACCUUUCGAAUUUGUUCAAUUUCUGCAUCAUCUUAAAGCUAGGGUUCUUAAAUUGGUUUCUCCCCAAUUUGAAUUUAAAUAAAAUUAGAGUAUAUAGUUGGAUUAUCUUAGAUAGUAGGUUUUUGGAGGUUGCAAAUAUAUAUUAUGUUGUGGUGAAAGAAACAAAGGAGAUAGCCUUUUGUGUCAUGUUCUGGCCGAAUUUGUCAACUCCAGUUUAACCAAGUAAACGAUCUCUUUUUCUUACGAAAUUUUAACUGAACAUACAUUUAGGUGUCUUCUGCUAUGUGGCCAAAUUUCAGCUUCAUCCGAAUUGAAAUGAAUUUAUAAUGAAUUUUGAAAGGGGACUGCGCAGUUCAGCUACGUUUGGAUAUAUUUUUGCUGUUUUCAGCUGCUGGUUUUGAAGUUUUCGACACCCUUAGAGUGUUGCAAAUUGUAUUUUCAAAUUUUCUGUAUGAACCUUGAUGUGUUGGAGAGCUCUCUGUAAAAUUUCAACUGAUUUGGAUGUCAUUUACUAUUUUUAGAAAAUCUCCAAACACAGCUGCUAGAACCUGUCGGGUAGUGAUAGACAGUGGGAAAAUGGCCAUAUCUCCCAACCUACUUGGAAAUUUUGAGAGAACUUUGUUUUAAAAUUUAACUAGACACCAAGGGGAUUCUUUUGGUAUAGGGCUUGACCUCUUAUACUCCGUGCAAAAGAAGUAACUAAAGAGAACUUGUUUAUUGCUUAAGCUAUUUUUUUGGUGUUGUGUUGAUAAGAAUUAUUUAUUGAAAGGUAAUCCUGGCCUGAGGGAUAGCACGGGCAAGGAGAAGGCGAAUGAGUAAAGUGAUCUAGUACGGCAUUUUGGAUUUUAAGGUGAUCCGAUCUUCUGUCUGCACCCUGAAUGGGUGAUUUGUGCGGAGUUCCUUGAGGACAAAAAUCUGCUUAUGUUUCUGAUCUGUUCCGAGUACCCUGCACAUUCCUUUCUACUCACCUACACACAACACCAUCUCUCUCCGCUGAAUUGUCGUCGUUGUCGACUGCUCGGCAGUUUCCGUCGCCGGUUUCCGACAAUAUUAGAGUAGACUUGUCUUCCCUUUGAGUAAUCCUGGCCUGAGGGAUAGCACGGGCAAGGAGAAGGCGAAUGAGUAAAGUGAUCUAGUACGGCAUUUUGGAUUUUAAGGUAAUCCUGGCCUGAGGGAUAGCACGGGCAAGGAGAAGGCGAAUGAGUAAAGUGAUCUAGUACGGCAUUUGGAUUUUAAGGUAAUCCUGGCCUGAGGGAUAGCACGGGCAAGGAGAAGGCGAAUGAGUAAAGUGAUCUAGUACGGCAUUUUGGAUUUUAAGGUGAUCCGAUCUUCUGUCUGCACCCUGAAUGGGUGAUUUGUGCGGAGUUCCUUGAGGACAAAAAUCUGCUUAUGUUUCUGAUCUGUUCCGAGUACCCUGGUCUGUCACUAAGCACUUAAUGGGAAUAUAUGUGUUAUGAUUAGUGAUUGUGUAAAACCUAUGUUAUAACUCUGAUAUAUUUGGUACACGAGAUCAGGUUUCGUUAUACGUGUUUUGGAUAUGUGGAAGGUUGAUGAUAUGUAUAUGUGUUGGUGUGUAGAUAAUAGUGUAAAUGAAUAGGUUGCAUAAUGUUUACUUAACUCCGGAAAUUAGACUCUAAUGUUGAGUAUACUACUGGGCUUGUUGAAGCACAUUCCUUUCUACUCACCUACACACAACACCAUCUCUCUCCGCUGAAUUGUCGUCGUUGUCGACUGCUCGGCAGUUUCCGUCGCCGGUUUCCGACAAUAUUAGAGUAGACUUGUCUUCCCUUUGAGUAAGCAAGUCCCUCACCUUUCGAAUUUGUUCAAUUUCUGCAUCAUCUUAAAGCUAGGGUUCUUAAAUUGGUUUCUCCCCAAUUUGAAUUUAAAUAAAAUUAGAGUAUAUAGUUGGAUUAUCUUAGAUAGUAGGUUUUUGGAGGUUGCAAAUAUAUAUUAUGUUGUGGUGAAAGAAACAAAGGAGAUAGCCUUUUGUGUCAUGUUCUGGCCGAAUUUGUCAACUCCAGUUUAACCAAGUAAACGAUCUCUUUUUCUUACGAAAUUUUAACUGAACAUACAUUUAGGUGUCUUCUGCUAUGUGGCCAAAUUUCAGCUUCAUCCGAAUUGAAAUGAAUUUAUAAUGAAUUUUGAAAGGGGACUGCGCAGUUCAGCUACGUUUGGAUAUAUUUUUGCUGUUUUCAGCUGCUGGUUUUGAAGUUUUCGACACCCUUAGAGUGUUGCAAAUUGUAUUUUCAAAUUUUCUGUAUGAACCUUGAUGUGUUGGAGAGCUCUCUGUAAAAUUUCAACUGAUUUGGAUGUCAUUUACUAUUUUUAGAAAAUCUCCAAACACAGCUGCUAGAACCUGUCGGGUAGUGAUAGACAGUGGGAAAAUGGCCAUAUCUCCCAACCUACUUGGAAAUUUUGAGAGAACUUUGUUUUAAACUUUAACUAGACACCAAGGGGAUUCUUUUGGUAUAGGGCUUGACCUCUUAUACUCCGUGCAAAAGAAGUAACUAAAGAGAACUUGUUUAUUGCUUAAGCUAUUUUUUUGGUGUUGUGUUGAUAAGAAUUAUUUAUUGAAAGGUAAUCCUGGCCUGAGGGAUAGCACGGGCAAGGAGAAGGCGAAUGAGUAAAGUGAUCUAGUACGGCAUUUUGGAUUUUAAGGUGAUCCGAUCUUCUGUCUGCACCCUGAAUGGGUGAUUUGUGCGGAGUUCCUUGAGGACAAAAAUCUGCUUAUAUUUCUGAUCUGUUCCGAGUACCCUGGUCUGUCACUAAGCACUUAAUGGGAAUAUAUGUGUUAUGAUUAGUGAUUGUGUAAAACCUAUGUUAUAACUCUGAUAUAUUUGGUACACGAGAUCAGGUUUCGUUAUACGUGUUUUGGAUAUGUGGAAGGUUGAUGAUAUGUAUAUGUGUUGGUGUGUAGAUAAUAGUGUAAAUGAAUAGGUUGCAUAAUGUUUACUUAACUCCGGAAAUUAGACUCUAAUGUUGAGUAUACUACUGGGCUUGUUGAAGCUCAUUCCUUUCUA